UUACUACUACACCCUCAACCCAAC
rnacentral:snRNA from 1 species